CCCUUAGAUGUUCUGGGCUGCACGCGCGCUACACUGAAGCGUUCAACGAGUAUUCACCUUGCCCGGGAGGGUUGGGUAAUCUUUUGAAAACGCUUCGUGAUGGGGAUAGAUUAUUGCAAUUAUUAAUCUUCAACGAGGAAUUCCUAGUAAGCGCGAGUCAUCAGCUCGUGCUGAUUACGUCCCUGCCCUUUGUACACACCGCCCGUCGCUCCUACCGAUUGAAUGGUCCGGUGAAGCGUUUGGACCAUGGUUUUCUGACGGUUCGCCAUUGGAUUACCGUGGGAAAUUCGUUAAACCUUAUCAUUUAGAGGAAGGAGAAGUCGUAACA
rnacentral:rRNA from 1 species